GUAAAGUUUGAUUUUGGUUUUUUUAUUCAUUAGUAAUUUCAUUUAUAUGUAGAUUUAUGUUGAAUUUUAAUUAAAAAUUAAUAAUUUAAAAGUUUAACAAUAAUUAAAUUUAAUAAAUUAAGGAGACUUAGAUUUAGGGAUAUUAUUUAAUAUAGUAAAAUUUUGUGCCAGCAUUCGCGGUUAAACAGGGGGAUAUAAGUGAAUAUAGAUUAAUUUAUAAUUAAUAAAAAAAAAUAAAAUAUUAAAUAUAAGUUGAAAAUUGUAGGGUGAAAUCUUAAUUUAUUUAUAUAUUAUUAAAAUUUUUAUUUUAUAUGAGGGUGUGAAAUUUUUUUAGUAAACUAGAAUUAGAUACUCUAUUAUUGAAAAUAUAAAUAAAUUAAAUUAGGGGAUUAAUAGAUAUGUUCUUGAAAUUCAAGAGAUUUGGCGGUACUUUAAUCUAAUUAGGGGAAUUUGUUUAUAAAAUGAUAGUCCGCAAGGAAUCUUACUUUAUUUGAUUAAUUUAUAUGUCGCCGUUUAGAGGGUGUUGAAAAAUUUUUUUAGAAACUUUCAAGGAUCUUUAUUAAGAAUAAAUUCAGGUAAGAUGUAGUUUAUAGUAAAGUUUAAAUGAAUUACAAUAAAAGUAUUUAUACGGAUGUUAAAUUGAAACAUUUAAUUGAAGGUGGACUUAAAAGUAAAUUUUAAUAUUAUAUAACGUUGAAUACAGUGCUAAGGUAUGUACAUAUCGCCCGUCGCUUUCGUUUAAAAAUGAGAUAAGUCGUAACAUAGUAGAUGUACUGGAAAGUGUAUCUAG
rnacentral:ncRNA from 1 species